rnacentral:rRNA from 1 species
UUUAAUUAGUAGCAUUUAGUGCUGUCAACCGGGUAGGGUUAAAAACUAAUUGGACGUUGUGAUAAAUUAACCGUUAGCCUUUAUAGCUGUUUUACGCUUUAUUUUUCUAUUUAUUUACUGGGCGUAAAUGUCCAGUAAAGGUAUAUAUACUUAUUAUUCUAUAGUUAUGAGAGGGUUAAAGUUCCCCCCACAUUAAAAAUUUGUUACAAAUUUUAGUAGGUAGAUCAGUAUUAUUUAUAGAUAGCGUAUAGAUUUUAUGGUUUGUUUUAUAUAUAAUCCAAUUAGUAAUAUUAUUAGUGUCACUAUUUCUCGAGCUUAGCCCGUCUGUUUAUCAAAAACAUUUUCAUUUAUUAUAUUUAAUGGUAGGACCUGCUCUAUGUGUUUAUAAAUGGCCGCGGUAUUUUGACUGUGCGAAGGUAGCAUAAUUAAUUGCCCUUUAAUUGGGGGCUUGUUUGAAUGGUCUGACGUGGUUAUUUGCAAAUUUUGGCAUUUUUAUUGAAAUUAAUUCUGAGGGUACAGAAUCCUCUAAUUUUAAUUAGACGGAAAGACCCCGGGAUCUUUUAUUUUGCCUGGGGUAGGUUAGAUUGUUUCAUAUUUAUUAUGAACCUUCUUAGGUUUAAUGGUUCAAGUUACCCCGGGGAUAACAGUGUAAUAGUCUAUGAGAGUUCUCAUCGAAUAGACUGCUUGCUACCUCGAUGUUGACUUAGGUUUAUACUCCG